rnacentral:rRNA from 1 species
CCUACGGGGGGCUGCAGUGAGGAAUAUUGGUCAAUGGACGAGAGUCUGAACCAGCCAAGUAGCGUGAAGGAUGACUGCCCUAUGGGUUGUAAACUUCUUUUAUAUGGGAAUAAAACGUUCCACGUGUGGGAUUUUGUAUGUACCAUAUGAAUAAGGAUCGGCUAACUCCGUGCCAGCAGCCGCGGUAAUACGGAGGAUCCGAGCGUUAUCCGGAGUUAUUGGGUUUAAAGGGAGCGUAGGUGGAUUGUUAAGUCAGUUGUGAAAGUUUGCGGCGCAACCGUAAAAUUGCAGUUGAAACUGGCAGUCUUGAGUACAGUAGAGGUGGGCGGAAUUCGUGGUGUAGCGGUGAAAUGCUUAGAUAUCACGAAGAACUCCGAUUGCGAAGGCAGUUCACUGGACUGCAACUGACACUGAGGCUCGAAAGUGUGGGUAUCAAACAGGAUUAGAUACCCGAGUAGUC